ensembl:lncRNA
GUGCCCUGUUGGAUAAUGGUGUGCUUACAAACAGCAAAGAAGCACUAAGAAUUCAAGUGGGAAGCAGAAAGAGUUGUGGGAGGCCUGCAGAGAAGCCUAUGGCACAUUCUCUUGACCCAUUAAUUUUUAGGUAGGUGAUUCCUUCUUUUUGUGCCAACUACCAUAAAGCAGCUCCAGAGGCUCCGAGUUAGAAUCCAUGCAUUGGCCGGGAAUCGAACCCGGGUCAACUACUUGGAAGGCAGCUAUGCUCACCUCUAUACCACCAAUGCCAUGCUAGGCAAUUCAACUCUGCUGAACAAAAGUUUAAGUAUGUGCUCUUCUCAUCAGCAGACUAUAGGCAAGAGCCGACUCACAGCU